rnacentral:rRNA from 1 species
GUUGUAUGGUUAAGUGACUAAGCGUACACGGUGGAUGCCUUGGCAGUCAGAGGCGAUGAAAGGCGUAUUAACUUGCGAUAAGCUCAGAUUAGGUAGUAAAAACCUGUGAGUCUGAGAUUCCUGAAUGGGGAAACCCAGCACCAUAAGGUGUUAUCACUAACUGAAUACAUAGGUUAGUGAGGCGAACCGGGGGAACUGAAACAUCUAAGUACCCCGAGGAAAAGAAAUCAACCGAGAUUCCGAAAGUAGCGGCGAGCGAAAUUGGAUUAGCCCUUAAGCUUUUAGUGAGACAGGUGAAGCCUCUGGAAAGUGGCGCGAUACAGGGUGAUAGCCCCGUAACCGACAUCUCAUCAUCAGUGAAAUCGAGUAGGGCGGGACACGUGAUAUCCUGUCUGAAUAUGGGGGGACCAUCCUCCAAGGCUAAAUACUACUGACUGACCGAUAGUGAACCAGUACCGUGAGGGAAAGGCGAAAAGAACCCCUGUGAGGGGAGUGAAAUAGAACCUGAAACCGUGUACGUACAAGCAGUAGGAGCACCUUCGUGGUGUGACUGCGUACCUUUUGUAUAAUGGGUCAGCGACUUAUAUUCAGUAGCAAGGUUAACCAUCUAGGGGAGCCGUAGAGAAAUCGAGUCUUAACUGGGCGUCGAGUUGCUGGAUAUAGACCCGAAACCAGGUGAUCUAGCCAUGGGCAGGUUGAAGGUUGAGUAACAUCAACUGGAGGACCGAACCGACUAAUGUUGAAAAAUUAGCGGAUGACUUGUGGCUAGGGGUGAAAGGCCAAUCAAACCUGGAGAUAGCUGGUUCUCCCCGAAAUCUAUUUAGGUAGAGCCUCGGACGAAUACCACUGGGGGUAGAGCACUGUUAAGGCUAGGGGGUCAUCCCGACUUACCAACCCUUUGCAAACUCCGAAUACCAGUGAGUACUAUCCGGGAGACACACGGCGGGUGCUAACGUCCGUCGUGGAGAGGGAAACAACCCAGACCGCCAGCUAAGGUCCCAAAGUAUAGCUAAGUGGGAAACGAUGUGGGAAGGCUUAGACAGCUAGGAUGUUGGCUUAGAAGCAGCCAUCAUUUAAAGAAAGCGUAAUAGCUCACUAGUCGAGUCGGCCUGCGCGGAAGAUGUAACGGGGCUAAGCUAUACACCGAAGCUGCGGCAAUGACUUAGGUCAUUGGGUAGGGGAGCGUUCUGUAAGCCGUUGAAGGUGGACUGUAAGGUCUGCUGGAGGUAUCAGAAGUGCGAAUGCUGACAUGAGUAACGAUAAAGGGGGUGAAAAACCUCCUCGCCGGAAGACCAAGGGUUCCUGUCCAACGUUAAUCGGGGCAGGGUAAGUCGACCCCUAAGGCGAGGCCGAAAGGCGUAGUCGAUGGGAAACGGGUUAAUAUUCCCGUACUUCUUACAAUUGCGAUGGGGGGACGGAGAAGGCUAGGUGGGCCUGGCGACGGUUGUCCAGGUUCAAGUGCGUAGGCUUAAGAGUUAGGUAAAUCCGGCUCUUUUUAAGGCUGAGACACGACGUCGAGCUACUACGGUAGUGAAGUCAUUGAUGCCAUGCUUCCAGGAAAAGCCUCUAAGCUUCAGAUUGUAAGGAAUCGUACCCCAAACCGACACAGGUGGUCGGGUAGAGAAUACCAAGGCGCUUGAGAGAACUCGGGUGAAGGAACUAGGCAAAAUGGUACCGUAACUUCGGGAGAAGGUACGCUCCUCGCGGUGAAGUCCCUUGCGGAUGGAGCUAUGGGGAGUCGCAGAUACCAGGUGGCUGCAACUGUUUAUUAAAAACACAGCACUGUGCAAAAUCGUAAGAUGACGUAUACGGUGUGACGCCUGCCCGGUGCCGGAAGGUUAAUUGAUGGGGUUAGACUUAGGUCGAAGCUCUUGAUCGAAGCCCCGGUAAACGGCGGCCGUAACUAUAACGGUCCUAAGGUAGCGAAAUUCCUUGUCGGGUAAGUUCCGACCUGCACGAAUGGCGUAAUGAUGGCCACGCUGUCUCCACCCGAGACUCAGUGAAAUUGAAAUCGCUGUGAAGAUGCAGUGUACCCGCGGCUAGACGGAAAGACCCCGUGAACCUUUACUACAGCUUGGCACUGAACAUUGAGCCUACAUGUGUAGGAUAGGUGGGAGGCUUUGAAGCGAGUACGCCAGUAUUCGUGGAGCCAUCCUUGAAAUACCACCCUUGUAUGUUUGAUGUUCUAACUUAGCCCCAUUAUCUGGGGUGAGGACAGUGCCUGGUGGGUAGUUUGACUGGGGCGGUCUCCUCCCAAAGAGUAACGGAGGAGCACGAAGGUGGGCUAAUCACGGUUGGACAUCGUGAGGUUAGUGCAAUGGCAUAAGCCCGCUUGACUGCGAGAAUGACAAUUCGAGCAGGUGCGAAAGCAGGUCAUAGUGAUCCGGUGGUUCUGUAUGGAAGGGCCAUCGCUCAACGGAUAAAAGGUACUCCGGGGAUAACAGGCUGAUACCGCCCAAGAGUUCAUAUCGACGGCGGUGUUUGGCACCUCGAUGUCGGCUCAUCACAUCCUGGGGCUGAAGUCGGUCCCAAGGGUAUGGCUGUUCGCCAUUUAAAGUGGUACGCGAGCUGGGUUUAGAACGUCGUGAGACAGUUCGGUCCCUAUCUGCCGUGGGCGUUGGAAGAUUGAAGGGGGCUGCUCCUAGUACGAGAGGACCGGAGUGGACGAACCUCUGGUGUUCGGGUUGUGUCGCCAGACGCAUUGCCCGGUAGCUAAGUUCGGAAUCGAUAACCGCUGAAAGCAUCUAAGCGGGAAGCGAGCCCUGAGAUGAGUCUUCCCUGGCACUUUAAGUGUCCUAAAGGGUUGUUCGAGACUAGAACGUUGAUAGGCAGGGUGUGUAAGCGUUGUGAGGCGUUGAGCUAACCUGUACUAAUUGCCCGUGAGGCUUAACCAUACAACACCCAAGGGGUUU